rnacentral:rRNA from 1 species
AUUGAACGCUGUCGGCAGGCCUAACACAUGCAAGUCGAACGAGUUGCGGCCGGGGGAGUCAUGUCUGGGAAACUGCCGGAUGGAGGGGGAUAACUCCUGUAAACGGUAGCUAAUACCGCAUACCAUCGGAUUUGCCCAGAUGGGAGGAGCUAGUAGGUGGGGUAACGGCUACCCUCGGCGACGAGCCCUAGCUGGUCUGAUGUGAUGACAAGCCAAACCGGAACUGAGACACGGUCCAGACUCCUCCGUGAGUCAGCAGUGGGGAAUAUUGCACAAUGGGCGAAAGCCUGAUGCAGCCCUGCCGUGUGGAUGAAGAAGGCCUUCGGGUUGUAAAGUACUUUCAGCUGGGAGGCGUUACCCGCAGAAGAAGCACCGGCUAACUCCGUGCCAGCAGCCGCGGUAAUAC